rnacentral:tRNA from 4 species
AAAAUCCGUCGACUUUAGAAAUCGUGA